rnacentral:rRNA from 1 species
UACGUAGGGUGCAAGCGUUGUCCGGAAUUAUUGGGCGUAAAGAGCUCGUAGGCGGUCUGUUGCGUCGGCUGUGAAAUCCCGGGGCUCAACCCCGGGCCUGCAGCCGAUACGGGCAGACUAGAGUUCGGCAGGGGAGAGUGGAAUUCCUGGUGUAGCGGUGAAAUGCGCAGAUAUCAGGAGGAACACCAGUGGCGAAGGCGGCUCUCUGGGCCGAUACUGACGCUGAGGAGCGAAAGCGUGGGGAGCGAACAGG